rnacentral:rRNA from 1 species
GUAGUCCACGCCGUAAACGAUGAAUGCUAGGUGUCAGGGGUUUCGAUGCCCUUGGUGCCGAAGUUAACACAUUAAGCAUUCCGCCUGGGGAGUACGGUCGCAAGACUGAAACUCAAAGGAAUUGACGGGGACCCGCACAAGCAGUGGAGUAUGUGGUUUAAUUCGAAGCAACGCGAAGAACCUUACCAGGUCUUGACAUCCCUCUGACCGUUUCAGAGAUGAAGCUUUCCUUCGGGACAGAGGAGACAGGUGGUGCAUGGUUGUCGUCAGCUCGUGUCGUGAGAUGUUGGGUUAAGUCCCGCAACGAGCGCAACCCUUGAUGUUAGUUGCCAGCACAUAAUGGUGGGCAC